UUCUCGACACGCCUCCAGACGUCAUUUUACUGACCCAUGUGGCGAAUAACUAGAAGGAACUCGAGUUCAGUUUAGUGUCGGACAAGAUUUACCUUCAUUGUACAAAAUAAAUAAACAUCAUGGUCAAUUGGCGGCAAUACCAUGAUACUGCGGGGUACUACUAUGGUAUUCUCUGAUGUAACGUUACUCUGCAGCUCCAUGCUCUGGAUAAUGUGCCGGUGCUGCUGUACAUCCUGGCAUUGAAGACGCUUGUGUUGUGUUUGGCGUUUUCUGGAGUGAAAAUCUAUCAGAGUAAGAAAGCAGAAGCAGCUCUGAAACAGCAGAUGGAGAUGAAGAGGAAACUCGCACAGCAAACGCAGGCGCUCAUUGAUAACAAGAAGGACGACUGACAUGUGGGAAAACAGGAGUGCUCUCAGCAUGAUUCAGCUGUUGAACCGUAUGCCUGUCUGCUGGACUGCUGUACAAGUCUUUUUUUUUUUUAUACAGAGUUUUUUAUUUAUUAUCUCUGAUGUAUGUAAAUAAAAAAGAUUUUAUAGCUAUGUCAAUCCUUGCAGUUUGUUCAUAAUUCAAAUAGUUCAGGAUAAUAACCAAAUCAAAACCGUGUAUAAUAAACUGGGUAAACAGAA